rnacentral:tRNA from 1 species
GGUUGUGUAGUGUAGUGGUUAGCACUCUGGAUUUUGAUUCCAGCAACCUGGGUUCGACUCCCGGCACGACCU